AAUUGUAUGUGGCACCAAAUAACUUUUAGGAAGGGAGGGAGAAAGGAAACAUUCUAAUACAUUAUUACUAGUAUGUUUAUUAAGAAGAAACAUUCAAAUAUUAAGAACUGAACACCUUUCUCUCUCUCUUUCUCUCUCUCAUUCUUUUUUCUUUAUUUCUUUCUCUACUAUAUUGUUUUGCUCAUUUCCACAUUCUUUAAAAAAAAAACUAAAUUCUCUAAAUGGGAUCAUUAAUAGUCGAGUUAACGAAUCUGAGCUAAACCUUUUGUCAUGGAGUACAAUCAGUUUUGAACAAGACUUCUAGAGGUCCUUUAGAUGGACCUUGGAGGCCAUCUAGUCAAACCCCCUGCUCCAGCAGGAAACCUUAUAUCGUCUGGAUCAGUGGUCACCAACCAGUGGUCCGUGGACCAUGGGUGGUCCGCGAGAAAAUUUUGGUGGUCUGUAGAAAAAUUAUUUGCAUUUUUAUAUUGCACUAAAUACUAUUUAUCCUUUUAAAAAAUUAAUAUUAGUGCUCCGCGGGAUUUAAAAUUAUGAAUUUAGUGGUCCCUGAGGUCCGAAAGGUUGGUGACCCCUGGUCUGGAUUAUUUUGGUGCCUCUUAACAGAGAGGAAAAUUGGCAGAAAGGAGAAGGAGUUUACUAGGACAAGGCUGCCAUGCAGAGGAAGGCAGAGAUACUUACACAACUUACGACCACAAUUGAGCCCAAAAUUUUGUUUGCUAAGCAAGAGCGUUGUUAAGUGAGUUUCACCACAUUUUACUCAAUCCAUGACCUCUCCUGGCUCUAACAAUCAUGUGCAAGCUAGGGAAGAACAUCUGAAUGCGUGUGUAAUGUUCUAAAUGUACAGAGGUUUUAGUGUGGACUCUGAGUGUUUUUUUCCAAAUGUAGUAAAUGAGGUUGAAUGUUUUAGAAGAGCUGUAUCUGUGUGUGUGUGUGUGUGUCUGUGUCUGUGUGUCUGUGUGUGUACAUACACAUACAGUAUGUAUAGUAGAUAAUGUAUCUUUCUGUGUGCUUAUAUACUCUAUACUGUGUAAUAUGUAUGUACACAUAUGGCAUAUAUACAUAGAAUUAAAUAGUAUAUUUUGGAUGUUCAGUAGUAGUAAAUAAAUAAGACAGGGAAAUUGUAUCUCAUUGAGAUCUUUGAGGCGAGGACAGGCCAGGCACCCUAACCCUAACCUUCGACAUGAGUGACGUCAAGUUGGUCAUGCCCACCCAGUCACAUGAUCACCAAGCUACGCCCACAGAACCAGUAGUAAAAAAAAUUUGGAACUUACCCCUGGUUUGUAUAGUCCUAGGAAGCAGUUCUUAGUGAUUGCAGUAAUAGUUUUAGUCUAGCUUGUCUAGUAUGGGGAAGUGUGCUGUGAGACUGAUUUCCUGUUUUAAAAUUUUCAAAAUGUGGGUGGAGGAUAAAAAUCUGCUGAACUGUUGCUGGAAAAUGCAUACAUCACGAUCAUCUGAGAUCUGUAAGAAAAUGCUGCUGCAUAAAGUGCUUUCAUUCACUCCACUGAUCAUUCAACCAUACUCUGCCUGAACUAUAUUCUUCUGUGUGAUUUUUCAUAUUUUACACAUGAUUUCAGUUGUUAAUAAUCCUCUUGCAGAGAAGAAUUAUCAUUUUGGCUAGUGGCACUGGAAAUGGAACCGUGCCCUUGAAGUAUUCUUUAGAACUUUCGGAAGUGCACACGCACACAUCACAUGCAUGCACAGACCUUCUACACAUGUGCAAAAUGCGAAGAAGGUAAAAAAUACAUGUUAAAACCAGGAAGUAAUGACACCCGGGCGGGUGGGCGGAUCUUUGCUCCGCCAUCUCUACCAGAUUGCCGAACCACCGGCCACAAUCACUACCAGAUCAUGCGAUCUGGUCCGAUCCGGGAGCAUUUCACCUCUGAAUUAUACCAUUACAGUGUAAGUUUAGUGGUAACUAUAUAAUUAUUAUAAUGAUAGAUAUAGCUGCACCAUCUUUUACUUUUACAUCAGAUUAGAUCAAAUCUAUUUACCUGUUAGGGGAGAUUUUUUUCAUGGGUUUAUUUUUAGUAUAUAUUUUUUAUUUUUUAAUUUAAACAUUUCAUCUUCCUUUAACAAGGUGUAUUGUCUGGGUACAAAUAUCCCUGUGUAAUAUCAAUCAAGAUUCACAGUAUUCAUUACACUGAUAUUAAUUCUCUAAUCUUACAAUAAUAAUAAAAAUAAUAAGCAUAAUAAACCUAUUCAUUUCUCCCUCUUAACAUAUCUUGCAAUUACUGCAAUUACUGCAGCCUGCAAUUACUGCAGAUUCGAGCCCGGCCCAAGGUUGACUCAGCCUUCCAUCCUUUAUAAGGUAGGUAAAAUGAGGACCCAGAUUGUUGGGGGGGCAAUAAGUUGACUUUGUAAAAAAUAUACAAAUAGAAUGAGACUAUUGCCUUAUACACUGUAAGCCGCCCUGAGUCUUCGGAGAAGGGCGGGGUAUAAAUGUAAACAAACAAAAAAAAAAUCUAAUAAGAGUAUAAUAGUAAUAUUAGACCCAAUAGUCUUAUCAAACAUAUUAGCAAAAAUCAUAUUGUUUGUCUUUACAUAUUUUCUAUAUUUCACUAAUCUUCAUUUUUUUUCUACCUUCUGUUUUUGUUCUCCAGCCAUCCUUAAAAUAGCUUCCAUGUCGUACAGUAUUCAGUUGGUUCUUUCUCCUGUAUACCAACGUUAAUCUAUUCAUUUCUGCACAUUCUAAUAUUUUCCUAAUCACAUGCUCCCUCUUCACUUUUCCAGUUUUGUGCAAAUACAAUUCUAGCCGCAGUUAACACAUGUAUAAUUAAAUAUGCAUUCUCUUUACUAUAGGUUUCGGGCAAAAUCCCCAACAAAAAUAUUUCUGGUUUUAAGUUAAAAUGCUGCUUUGUAAUCUUUCCCAAACUCCUUUUUAUUUUUGUCCAAUAUUUUUUUGCUUCUACACAUGUCUACCCCAUAUGAUAGUAUGACCCAGGUGUCUGGUGGCAUUGUCAAUAUUUAGCAAAUUUAUCUUUAAACAUCUUUGCUAAUCUUGCUGGUGCAAAACUGUAAAACAUCUUGUACAAAUUUUCUUUAUAUGCAGUUGACAUUGUUAACUUAUAAUUCCUGUUCCAUAACUUCUGCCAUUUGUCUAGUUCUAUUGUGUAACCAAAUUUUUUUGCCCAUGCUAUCAUUGUCUCCUUCACUUGUUCAUCUUCCAGUUUAAUGGUCAAUAAAUAAUUGUACAGCUUUCUUAUCAGUCUUUCAUCUGUCCCUAUUAACAUCUUACCUAAUUCUGUAUAUUCUUUAUAGAAACCAUAUACCAUAUUUUUCGGAGUAUAAGACACACUUUCCACCCCUAAAAGAGGGUGAAAAUUUGGGUACGUUUUAUACACCAAAUGUAGCCCCACCCAUCCGCUGGCCCCCAACCUUUGGCCUCUGCCUCCCAGCAAUUUACCUCCUUGCAGCAAGCAGCAAACUGCAAAAAGCCCAUUUCAGCUUCAGCACAUCCUGAUUAGCACAAUCAGUUGAUUGUCGGUUGGAUGGGCCUCCCGACCCUCAGCUGCAGGGAUUGCCAUUGCCUAUUGCCACGCGGGCCUCCUGUUUGUUGCAAGGAGGUAAAUUGCUGGGAAGCAGAUUUUCUUUUCUUAUGCUAAUCAAGCUGUGCUGAAAACGAAAAUGAAACUAAAGCAGGCUGUUUGCUGUUUGCUACAACAAGGCAAAUUGCUGGGAGGCAGAGGCAGAUAUUUUUUUCUUGUUUUCCUCCCCAAAAAAUGGUAGGUGUGUCUUAUAGUCCAGAGCGUCUUAUACUCUGAAAAAUACAGUAGUUUGGCAUCUUUCUCAUAUCUAGAGUGUAUCUGCACCUGCGCAUACCAUGGCAUGUUGAUCCCUUGGUUGCUCAAUUCUUGUUUAGUUUUGAAUUAGCCCUUUUCAUUCAAAAUAUCUUUAUAUCUAACAAUAUUUCCCAUGUUAACAACAUUUGGGUGAAUCAGUGCUUCCAUUGUUGAAAGCCAAACUGGUAUCCUCAAGUAAUGUUGUUCUCUGAUUUUCUCCCAUACUAACAAUAAUGCAUUCCUUAUAUAAUGUCUUUGAAAAUAACCAUAUACCUUGCUUCUCCCAUACCACAAGAAAGCAUGCCAGCCCAGUUGUAGGUCAUGUCCCUCCAGAGUCAUCUUGUAUGUCUCAAUGCAGUCCGUUCUUUCAUCCAUGUUAAUACUGCUGCUUGGUAUUCCCAAUACCAAUUCCCAAUUAGGUAGUCCAAAGCCUCCUCUACUCCUUGAAUCCUGCAACCGUUUACAACUAAUUCUUGCUUUUCCCCCCUGCCAGAUAUAUUUUAAUACUAUUUUAUUAAGUUCCCCAAAAUAUUUUUUCCCAAUUUUAUCGGAAUUGUUUGGAAUAAGUACAAUACUUCAUUUUAAUUGUAGCUAUCCUUCCUAUCAAUGAUAGGUGCAGAUUUUUCCAUUUUUCCAAAUCUAUUUUAAAUUGUUGUAUCAAUUUAUAAUUAUCUUCCUUAAUUGUUACACAUCUUGCUGUCAAUUGAAAUCCUAAGUAUUUUACUUUCUUAGUAAUCUGAAUAUCUAUUCUCUUAGUUAACUCUUUUUUCUGCGUAUCUGUGAGGUUUUUCGCUAAGAUUUUAGCUUUCUCUUUAAUUAUUUUCAGUCCUGCUACUUCACCAUAUUCUUCUAUUUUUUUAAAUUAAUUUAGGCCCUGUUUCUUGUGGCUCUUCCAAAAUAAAUACUAAGUCAUCUGCAAACACUUGCAGUUUAUACUUUUCCUUUUUCAUUUCCAUGCCUUUUAGCUCUGUAUCCUGUCAAAUAUUUCUAUUCAAUAUUUCCAGUGUCAUUAUAAAUAACAUGGAAGACAAAGGAUAUCCUUGUCUUGUACCUUUCUUAAAAUUGAUCUUCUCAGUCAUGUUUCCAUUUACCUUUGCAUUUUGUUUAUAAUAUAUCGCCUUAAUCAUAUUAAUAAAUCUCUCCCCAAAAUCCAUGUCUUUUAAUUGUGUUAACAUAAAUUGCCAGUUCACAUUAUCAAAUGUUUUCUGUGCAUCUAGGAAGACCAACACCAUUUGCUUCUCUGGAUGUACUUCAUAAUAUUCCAAUGUGUUUAAGAUUAUUCUCAUAUUGUCUUUAAGUUGUCUCUUAGGUAAAAAGCCAUUUUUAUCUGAAUGUAUAAACUAAUUUAAAAAACUUUUUAGUCUUUCUGCAAUUAUUGAACCAAAUAUUUUAUAAUCAGCAUUCAAUAAAGAGAUCAGUCUAUAGUUUUUUAUCUGUUGCAGAUUUGCAGAUUUGAAUCUUAUUUUCAUAUGAGAGUAAUAUAUGCUUCCAUUCAUGAAUUUGGUAUUUUGGCUUCUAACAGUAGUUCUUUAAAUACAUCCAACAUUGGGGUACUUAGAGUGUCCUGUAAGUCUUUGUAUAGUUCUGCUGGUAGUCCAUCCGGGCCUGAUGUUUUACCAUUCUUUUGUCUCUUGAUUGCUUCUGUUAAUUCCAUCAUUGUUGUAUGUUUGUCUAACAUUAUUUUGACUGUUUCAGGUAUUUUAGGUAACUCCGCUUUUUCUAAAUACUGUUUUAUUUUGUCUUCUGAAAUUAUCUCCUGAUCAUAUAGUUUCCCAUAGUAAUUUUGAAUCACUUUCUUUUUAUCUUCAUUUUGGUAUUGAAGAGUCCCUUCAUCUUCCAUUAACUGAUAUACCAAUUUCUUUUCUUUCUCCUUUUUCAAUUUAUAUACCAACCAUCUUCCUGGUUUAUUUGCAUUUUCAAAGAAAUGUUGUUUAGUGCUUUUAAUUUUAUGUGCUAAUUCUUCAUUAUCUAUUAAAUUCAGCUUAUGUUUUAUUAAUUCCAUUUGAUUUUUUAUGUUCUUCUUUUGUGGUUCUUUUUAUAGUUCUGUCUCUAAUCUCUUAUAUUCUUCUUCUAAUAUCUUUUGGUUUUGUCUCUUCUUUUUAUUUUUCUUUCCCAUAUAUGUUAUAGCUAGUCCUCUAAUAUAUGCCUUGGCUGUAUCCCAUACAUUCUGCUGUGAUGUUUCUUCUUUUCUGUUCUCUAUAAAGAAAAAAUCCAACUCUCUUUCCAUAAAUUGGAUAAAUUCCUUUUCUUUUAGUGUUGAUUGGUUCAAGGUCCAUCUUAAUUUCCAUUUUUGUCCCUUCCAUAUAACUUUUAUUGGAUUAUGAUCUGCCCAGUUGUUUAUUUCUCUAUUUCCUGUAUGUUAGACUUUAGCUCUGCUGACAUCCAUAUCAUGUCUAUUCUGGACCAAGACGUAUGUCUAUUUGACUCGAAUGAAUAUUGAUUCUCCUUGAAAUGAAUCGCCAUACAUCUUGAACGCCUAAUUCUUCCGCCAUUUUAAAAAAAAGCUUUUGGAAGUGUUUUUCUGGUUUUUUUUGUUUGCCUUUCUAAUUUUAUAGUCUUGUUCCGCAUCUAUAGUUGCAUUGAAAUUUCCUACUACACAUAUAUUUUCAUAGUCCAAUUCUUUUUUUUUAUAUGGGGUUUACCAUAAAAAUCUUCUUGAUCGUUAUUUGGUGCAUAUAUUGCUACUAAAAUGUCUGUUAUUCAUUGUUAUCGCCACCAUCAAAAUCCUCCCUUCCUCGUCUGUGUAGAUUUGUUUAACAUUUAUUGUCUCUUUUACAUAAAGCGCUAUUCCCAUUUUCUUUUGUUGUGAUAAAGAGGGUAUUCCAGUGCUUUAUUAUGUUUGUUUUUUCACAUGAACUUCUUGCAGGCAGUUAUCUAUAAUUUUAUAAAUAAAGUUAUAUCUAACUUUAAUUUUUCUGAUUUCUUAAAGGUUCUUUUCCUUUUUAUUGUUGAAUUCAGUUCAUUUAUGUUAAUUGACAUUAGUUUUACUUCUUCUUCCAUGGUUUCACUUGUAUAUUGGUUUUGUUGUACUAGUCGCUUUUGUCUCUCUCGGCUCUUGGUUUCUCUCCUUCUCUCUCCUCCAAAUCUCUUUAGUCUUCUCUGUGUUGUAUACUUCUCUCUCCUACAGCUUCUUCUUGUCAUCUAUCCUCUCUUUAUCUCUCUUUCCUGUUUCCUCCCUUGUUCCCUGUUCCUCUUGUUGUCCAAAGUAGUGUUUGUAGAAUUGUUCUGCUUUUUCUUUGCUCCAUCCAGAUCACCAGUAUUCCCUCUGGUGUCAGCCAUCUGAAAGUCACUCCAUUUUUAAUUAGUUGUUUCGUGAAUUGGUAUUCCCUCCUUGCUUCUCUAACUCUUCUCAGAAUAUGUUUUAGAACUACUACAUCUUUCCCUUUGCAUUUUAAAGGGUUAUCUCUCACUCAUAGAAUCUCUCUCUUCAUUGUUUUUUUAAUGAAUCUUACAUGUACUUCUCUAGGGAGCCUAUUUCUUAUCGCAUAUCUGGUAUGAAUUUUAAUCUUUCAUCAAUUCCAUCAAGUAUUUUAUAUUUAGUCACCUCUAAGGCUUCCCGCCAGCAACUCUGCUAGAAUCUCUAGUAGAUUCUCUCCUUUUCUUCCUCCAAGUUCUGAAACCACAGGGGAGAUUUUUUUCAUGUUAUGUACUUUCAACAGUUCAUGCUUUUACAUUAAUGCAGUACAUGGUGCUAGAUCCUUCCUAUAUCUAGCCUUGUGUUUCUGUAAAUAAUUUUUCUGUUUUACCUCCUUUUUUGUGCAGGUAUAUUUUAGGUGAAUAUUAUAAUAGCAUAAUAGGAUGAUCGGGGUUUUUUUGAAUUUCAGGAGGGAAAAGCUCAGAUAUUUCAUUAACUUUUAACUUUUAAUUUAAACACAUGUACAAUAUUCAUUUUCAUGUUUGAUCAAAAACACUUGAUUUGCUGUCUGUGGCUUUUCUAUUCUUUUGAUUUAAAAGAAUUGGUUUGUUUGUAUAUUACAAUAUAGGCUGCCACAUCUACAAAUAAACAGUUUAUAAAUUAAUGAAAACACAGAAUAAAUGUAAAUUAAACAAUUAUAAGCAAACCCAAGGUAGAAGCAAGGCCAAAAUGCCUUCCAGAAAAGCUCUGUUUUGAGCAGCUUCUGAUGGCAGUCAAGAUGAGUUCCACUCCCAAGUUUCCUUGGGAGGCCAUUCUAAAGGAGCACCAUAGCCGCUCAAAAGCAGUAUCAUCAAACCUUGGUCAAUCAAUCUGAAGUAAGUCUCUGGUAAUAUUGUUUCCAAGUUAGAUCAUUCUUUUGUGGUUGUCUUCUUUGUGGUCUAGUGUAUAUGGAUGAAUAACAAGCUACAUUUUCUGGCAAGGACAGAUGUAUUACAUGAGAAUAUUGUCUUUGUAGAUGAUUCAUAUGAGAGAUAAUAUAUAUCUUAUUAAACAGAAGAAAAAAUGAUUUAGCUUGAAUUUAGGGAUCUAACCAAUAGUAACAGAUAAAUGGUGAUGUUUGUAACUAUUUCUUUCCCAGUCUGACAUAUCAGAAUUCUUUGUUUGAAUUCCUUUCUAACCAAAGCAGUAAAAAUAUAGUAUUGAUAUAUUGAUGAACUAAUUGAAUUAUUUCAAUCAUCUACCAUUCUGUCUUUUGUCAACAAAUCAGAGAAUUAUUCUUAUAACCUGAAUAGCAUAAAAAUGUUGAUACAACAGUUUGUUCUUAUUGGAAGGCAAAAACCUUGGCAUAUUUAAUAAGAAAAGAAAGAGUCAGAUGUAUGGUGGUAAAGAUGUGGAUCAAACAGUAUAUAACAGACUUCUGUUUUUGGCCUUCUGUUUUUCCCAUGGAAUUUCAAAAAUAGAUUUGUACAAUCUGCAUCUGCUUGCAAACCUAACCUACAUAAUAGUUACCAAUGCGUGAAUAAACAAAACAGUUUAAAAGAUUUGUCUGUUAACAUAUUCGCGACUACAAAAACAUUCCACAGAAUAAUUAUGUGAUUCUUGGAGGACAUAUAGUGGGCAUAAAAAGUCUAUACACCCGUGCUAAAAUGACAUGUUUUUGAGAUGUUAAAAUAUCAGGCCAAGAUAAAUCAGGGUCUUACAAACAUUAAAGGGAUAAGUUAAACAAUUCAAUCGAAAAUAAUGAAAUUAUUUUUUCCCAAGUUUUUUUAAUAAAAAUGUCAAAUCAAUGUGUGAACAGUGCGGCACCUGGGCGCCAUACAUUCCCAAUACAAAUUAAAUUGAUCAGAUUAAGCAUAAUUAUUACAUUCAAUCAGUUUACGUAUUUCUAAUCACAAUACACAUCUGUGUUAGGUUACAGUCUAUCAUUAUUCAAUUAUUCCACAUUUUCUCAUGUAUACAUUAAUAUUCCCUUAUUUCUAUCACUUAUUCUAGCUUUUAUUAUGAAACUUUUUCUUUCUUUCCUGUCUAGCUUCUAAUCAUGUCACCUGUGUAAAGAAAAAAAAAGAAUACAGAGAGGGAGAGGGGUAGAAGCAACUCAAUACAGCAACAAAAAAAGAAAGUCAUCUAUCCAUCAUCUCUUACCCGUUUCAUACUUUAAUUGCUAUGCUUUAAAAGGAAGAGGGGAAGGCAAAUCAGAACAACAAUAAACCAAAAAAAAUUCUCUAUCCAUCGUCUCUUGCCCACUUCAAUAUUUUAAUUGUUAUGCUUUGUGGGGGGGAGGGCUUGCCUCCCAAAUUCCUCUCUUAAAUUUCUGUCUAUGUUUAUUUCUUGGAUGUCCAAUCUAAGUAUUCCCCCCAUCUCUAACUUCUUCCACUGCCUAAUUUCUAGAAUUUAGAUCCCUGCCUUCAUUUCAAACAUAUCUUCCAACUCUUAAUAUGUUUUCCCCCUGGUUUAAUUCAUCAAUCACUAUUAUUUUCAUUGUUAUCUCCUCUUUGUUUUCUUCCUUCUUCAUUUCUUCUUGUGACUCCUCCCUUUUCUGGGUGCCUUGGUCUGUACUCAUCAUCCCUUGUAUGGCAUUUUCCAUUUUUUCCAUAAUCUCCUUAAAUCCUUUAUCAAUAAUGUCUUUUGUAUUUUGAAAGAGUAAAUGCAUCUCCUGUGCAAUUCCACUCAUUUUUUUCUUUUUAAGUAUCUUGUUUUUUGAAAAGAAUGAUUUUUAUCCAACAGUUCAAGAACUAUUUAUUCAAUCUUUGAAUUACCCUUUAAGGAGUACACUAGUCCCAGUUCUUUAUGUCUCAUAAGUUAACAAUCAGUUCCAUUUAAGUAGUCCCAGAGGUUAUCAAAAGCCCCUUUAUGUCCUCUUUGCAAAUUCAAUCCUCUAGUAUGAUAUUCCAAUGUCUCUUUAAUUGAAUCACUUCCUCAUUUUCAUAUUUGAAUCUCUAGUACUCAUAGGAUAGUUAAAAAUAAUCCAAUCAAAUUUUCACUUUCACUGUUUUUCAUAUAAGUAGAAAGCAUGUAAUUUUCCUUUUUGUCACCAAGUGGCACUCUUCACUUAGAUUUCAGUUUACUAGUCCCUCGUCAUUUGGUUAUAAAACACUUUUGAAAGCAGAAUAAGUGCCUUUCAUUUCCAGUUAGAUAUUUCUUCAGAGUACCCCUAAAAUGCUUAAACACCACUUUAACACAUAGUUCUGAGUAAAUAAUUCUGAAUUGUUUCUUAGCAUUAGAUUUAAAGCGAAAGAAAAAUCCUCUCCCCCAGUUCCAACACGGCUCACCUUCUUCUCUCCAGCACCAGUCUUAGCUGUUGUUCUUCUGUUGUCCCAGCUUUGUAGCAGCCAUCUUUGGGCUGCUGCUUCUUGUCAUGACUGAGAGGGAGAAAAAACACCGGACAGACAGGAGAGUUGUGACUCUCCCCAACCUCACAGGGUGCAGCUCUUUGCUUCUUUGCAAAGCUGCCUCACAGGGCAGCUUUGGCUCCUUCCGGAGCCCACAAACAGGAAGAAUUCAGCACAGGGAAUGCAGAGACCCAUUCCUCUGUGUCUGUACCACCGCAAUGUCAACCGGAAAUCACAACCUGAAAUUCUUACAGAGGAAAAAUAAAAAACUUUCAAUACCAUGGUUGCAUAAAUGUGCACUUCCUCUUAUAAAUGGGAAUGUGGCUGUGUUCAAAAUCAAUCACAUUCGAACUGAUGUUAAAUAGUAGUCAGUACAUACCUGCUAUCAAUUAAAGUGACUGAUCAAGCCCAUAUAAAGUUCAGCUGUUCUAGUAGGACUUUUCUGACAUUUAUUCAGCUGCUUCUUACAGCAGAAAUCAAGGUCUUACAAAGGGAUCUCAUUGGAAGAUACCAGUCAGGAGAAAGGUAUAAAACAUUUCCAAGUAUUGGAUAUAACGUGGAACACAGUGAAAACAGUGAUCAACAAAUGGAGAAAAUAUGGCACAACAGUAACAUUACCAAGAAUUGGAUGUCCCUCCAAAAUUGAUGAAAAAACAAGAAUAAUGGUCCAAGAGGUUGCCAAGAGACCUACAGCAACAUUUAAAGAAGCUGCCAGAAUUUCGGGCAAGUACUGGUUGUGUAAUAUAUUUAACAGUAAUCUCCCAUAUCCUUCAUGUGCCUGGCUGUGGGGUAGGGUGGCAAGACAGAAGCCUUUUCUUAUGAAGAAAAAGUUCAGUUACAUUUACAAAAAUCUACAUUAAGUCUAGCAGAAGCAUAUGGGGAAAUGUGUUAUGGUCUGAUGAAACCAAGGCUGAACUUUUUAGCCAUAAUUCCAAAAAGUAUAUGUGGCACGAAAACAACUCCGCAGAUCACCAUAAGUACACCAUACCCACAGUGAAUUAUGGUGGUGGCAGCAUUAUGCUUUGAGGCUGUUUUUCUUCAGCUAGAACUCAGGAUUUAGUCAAGAUGGAGAGAAUUAUAAUCAGUUCCAAACAUCAGUUGAUUUUAUACAAAACUUUCAGGCCUCUGCUGAAAUGCUAAAGAUGAAGGGAAAAUUCACCUUUCAACCCGACAGCCCAAAGCAUACUUCCAAAUCAACAAAACAAUGGCUUUACUAGAAGAAUAUCAAAGUUCUGGAGUGGCCCAGCCAGAUCCCGCAUCUGAAUCCAGUUGAAAACCUGAAGAGGGCUGUGCAUAGGAGAUACCCUUGCAAACUGACAGUGUUUUUGCAAGGAAGAGUGGGCAAAUAGGCUCCUACCCCAAAAGACAAAAUGCUGCCAUUAAAUCAAAAGAUGCUUCAACAAAGUAUUCUUUAAGCUGUGCACACUUAUGCAGCCACUUUAUUGUAACUUUUUCAUUGUUUUUCCCCCUAAAAUAUUUCAGUUUGUUUUUCAAUUGAAUUGUGCAGCUUAUAAAUUAUAUUGAAGGUGGGGAAAAAUUCUGAAAUGUUUUAUCUUGGUCUGAUUUUUUACAUCUUAAAAUCCUGCCAUUUUAACAGGGGUGUGUAGACUUUUUAUGUCCACUGUAGAUUACAAUAACCUUCAGAAAAUGCCUAGCAAACAGGAUAACCAAAACAGAUAAACCUGUGAUUUAAAGGUAAAAUGUUGCUAGAUAAAUGAUGUGAAGAAAAUAGCCUAGCCUCAGAUCUGGUGAACAUGAUUUUGCUGCUUUUGCAGGCAGAACCUUCUAUGGCCUCCAUUGUAUAAAGAACAAAUAUCAGAAUUGUUUGUAUUUCACCCACAUUUUAAAUGGGCCCUUUAUAGGCUGCUUUUUUCUGAAGUUUCCCCAGUACGCAGAUAUUCUCUGUGGAAUAUCAACAUUGACAGUCAUGAAUUCUCCAAUGGAUUCCUUGGCAACUCGUUAAGUAAAACAAAACUCUAUUUCCAGCCAGAAAUUGUUUGAAUUGUUGAGAGUGGUAUUUUUCACAUGGAUGGAGCAGUCCUGCUUCACUCUUCUCAAGUGUUUUACCAUACUUACCAUACCAAUAUUACCAUACUUAAAAGAAUGUGGUUAUUAUAGGCCAGUGAUGGCUAACCUUUUCCGGACCAAGUGCCCAAAGCAUGUGGCUGAACUCCCAGAAUGCAAUGUGCGUGCGGGGGGCCCGCAUAUACGUGCACGGCCCUCCCGCAUGUGCCCUGCACAUGUGUGGCAGAGACCCGACGACUAGCUGAACUGGGGCGACUGCUCGCAUGCCCACAGAGAGGGCCCUGUGUGUCACCGGUUCACCAUUAUGGUUGUAGGCUGUAAUAUACCGUAUUUUUCACAGUAUAAGACACACCUUUCCCCCACCCAAAAAAAAGAUGGUGAAAAUCUGGGUACGUCUUAAACACUGAAUGUAGCCCCAUCCACCCGCCAGCCCCCACCCUUCAAAGGUUGUCAACCUCCGCGCAUCACAUUUUCUGGCGGUUCCAGGCGGCAGGCAUCCUUACUUCCACUUGGAUUUUGAUAACGAGCAGCACAGAUCUUUUUAUCCGUUUAAAACAAACCUUAUCACUCUAUGUGCAUUUAACUGGAGUGGGUGGGGUGGGGUAUGAUUUUCAUGGGGGCAAAAGAGUGAUAUGGCACCAAAGGCUCCACUCUCGAGAUCCCCCGUCUUCCUACCUAUAGCCGUAGGCAUUGAAAGCCUGGCUUUCUCGCAGCAAGGUCCGAUAGAGAUGCAGCAUUUAAGUCCUCCUGGACGCUGCCAUCUCAUAAACACAGUGCUUCCCGGCAAGCCCCUGUACCUUUGCUGCCUCAGUCAGAGCCUGAUUCUACAAGCAGCCCAGGAAGUGCUGAGGUCGGGACUCAUUUGGCGAAACAGGCACUUCUGUGUGAGAGGCAUAAGCCUUCUCCAUAUGACUCAGGCGGAGGGCAGUCGGCUUCUGCUCCUGGCCCAGGAGACGGAUCUGGCCAGGAGGAAGGAGAAAGUAAGUCUGUGGAAAAAGGAGGAGGGCAUGAGGCUCUGCGAAUUGCAUUGGGGAAUGGGGGAGGAAAAAACUUCGCCUCCAUGCAUCGCAUUUUCCGGUGUUUUCCUCCCUGAUUCCCCAAUACAAACAAGUAUCAUGUUUUUGGUCUCUGCACGCUGGGAGAUGGGCGGUGGAAGCGGUUAGGGUGCUGCUUGGAACCAGUCAAACCACCACCGUCACGUUUUCAUGAGGGCACACAGCUCUGCAAAUUGCAUCGGGGAGAAAAACUCUAGAAAACGCGAUGCAUGGAGGCGAUGCUCUUUUUCCUCCCCGAUUCCCCAAUGCAAUUCGCCGAGCCUUGCCUUAUUUCCCCUGCACUACCAUCCAAAAACACUUUCUUCCCCGAUUUCAAAAACAGGGUGUCCGGGGGCAAAAAAAGAGCAUCGCGUUUUCAGGUAGUUCCAGGAGGCGGAGAUCGCAGCAACAACGUUUUUGGUUGGUGGUGCCUUGCCUUACACCUCCUGCGCAGCACCCGCUUUGCCAACCGAGUCCUGGCCUCUGUGCUUCCCCAGGCUGCUUUCGGAAUCAGCCUCCAACCAAGGCAGCAAAGGGGUAAGGGGCUUGCCGGGAAGCCUGGCACCAUGUUUACAAGAUGGCAGGACUGAAGUGCUGCAUCUCUAUCAGGCCUUGCUGUGAGAAAGCCAAGCUUUCAACACCUGCGGCUAUAAACGGGGGCAUCUCGAGAGUGGAGCCUUCUGUGCCAAGUCCAUCUUCUGCCCCUAUGAAAAUCAUCCCCCACCCCACCCACUCCAGUUAAAUGUGCGUAGAGCGAAUAGGGUUUGUUUUAACUGAUAAAAAGAUCUGUGCUAUUCAUUAACAAAAUCCGAGUGGAAGUGAGGACACUGCUGACCCUGAUGCUGGUAGGCAGAGGCAGAAUUCUUGUUUUCCUUCCCAAAAAUUAAGGUGCGUCUUAUAGUCCGAAAAAUACGGUACAUUGAAUUUUCUCUAGAUAGGGCACAAGAGUUGGGGAAAUCUGAAGCAAUGUUUAUAUAUUUUUUCAAGAAAGUCAAGGAAUACUAAGAUUUUCACGUCUGCUUUUUCUAGUCAAUUAACUAUGCCUAGUCUUGUCUUAUUAAGUCAUGGACAAAUAGCCACCAGUGGUUAAUACUGCUUUUAUAUUUAGGAAAAUGGCAACUAUAGCUGCCUUCCAAGGUGAUUUUCCUUUUUAAGAUGUUUAGGGAGUGCUUUCUUGGUUCCGAAAUGUUUCUUGAGCUUCACAGGCGGUAUUUUGAUUCACCACUAUUCGUCCAAGAUCAGCUUCAAGAAACGUGUGGGGAGAGAAAGUUUCUGCCAUAGUUGUAUAUCUACAGGUAGUACAUUUGGGAAUUGUCCUGGAAUUUUUUUUCCUAUGAGCCUAACUAACUCUUUUUAAAGCUUUAGACAGCUAUCUUCAAACUGCAUACAUAGUCAUGUUUUAAGAUAGAAUUUUUUUAGAAGAUUUGAUAGUGGAGUUGAGCUGUCCUGCUUUUCCAGUCUGAUUAUGGGAGGCAGGAUAGUUCCUUCCACUGAACAGGCAGUUGUGGACCAUGCCUACUACUCUUUCCAGUAGAAGAUGCCGAAAAUACCCUUUGUGAGUCUCAGAAAAUUAGAAUUUCACAGUAAGUCCAAAUGUCUGUUUUGUUAUUUACUCUUCAGUGAUUAUAGGAUGGUAGUGAUAUCACUGAAGCUAUGGUUGAAUACAUUGUUGUUGUUUUUAAUGAGUGUGCAGGUGUGCUUUAAAGCAGGAAUUGGAUAUUUUAAAUCUUGAGGAAAUUUAUAUAUUUUACCACACGAUCAUCAAUAAAAUAAAAUAAAAU